CAUAACCAGCUCAUUUUAGAGACCUAAUAAUUUAGAGGGUUUAAUCAAUUUAGAGAAGAGAGAAGAGAAGAAACGAUCAAUUAGUAGUCCAUAAUCUUCCUACUGACUUCACCAGGUCACUGAAUCAGGUUAGGUCAUACUGAUUGAACUGGCACCUAGAUCAGUCACACUAAUUAAUCUUAAUUGUAUAAUUUAACUCAAAUCACUUAGCGAUCUAAUCAAAAUUUAGUUCACCAAAUUGGCCAGGUAAGUG
rnacentral:lncRNA from 1 species